UGGGGNNNNNNGNANAAUGGGGGCAACCCUGAUCCAGCAAUGCCGCGUGAGUGAAGAAGGCCCUCGGGUUGUAAAGCUCUUUUGUCAGGGAAGAAACGGAGUUCUCUAAUAUAGGAUUCUAAUGACGGUACCUGAAGAAUAAGCACCGGCUAACUACGUGCCAGCAGCCGCGGUAAUACGUAGGGUGCAAGCGUUAAUCGGAAUUACUGGGCGUAAAGCGUGCGCAGGCGGUUUUGUAAGUCUGAUGUGAAAUCCCCAGGCUCAACCUGGGAACUGCAUUGGAGACUGCAAGGCUAGAGUGUGUCAGAGGGGGGUAGAAUUCCACGUGUAGCAGUGAAAUGCGUAGAGAUGUGGAGGAAUACCGAUGGCGAAGGCAGCCCCCUGGGAUAACACUGACGCUCAUGCACGAAAGCGUGGGGAGCAAACAGGAUUAGAUACCCUGGUAGUCCACGCCCUAAACGAUGUCUACUAGUUGUCGGGACUUAAUUGUCUUGGUAACGCAGCUAACGCGUGAAGUAGACCGCCUGGGGAGUACGGUCGCAAGAUUA
rnacentral:rRNA from 1 species